rnacentral:rRNA from 1 species
UUGACCUCGAAUCAGGUAGGGAUACCCGCUGAACUUAAGCAUAUCAAUAAGCGGAGGAAAAGAAACCAACCGGGAUUACCUCAGUAACGGCGAGUGAAGCGGUAACAGCUCAAAUUUGAAAUCUGGCUCCUGCGGAGUCCGAGUUGUAAUUUGUAGAAGAUGCUUUGGGAGGUAGGGCCGGCCUAAGUUCCUUGGAACAGGACAUCAGAGAGGGUGAGAAUCCCGUAUGUGGCCGCGGCCUACGCCCGUGUAAAGCUCUUUCGACGAGUCGAGUUGUUUGGGAAUGCAGCUCAAAAUGGGUGGUAAAUUUCAUCUAAAGCUAAAUAUUGGCCAGAGACCGAUAGCGCACAAGUAGAGUGAUCGAAAGAUGAAAAGCACUUUGGAAAGAGAGUUAAACAGUACGUGAAAUUGUUGAAAGGGAAGCGCUUGCAACCAGACUUGGGCGUCGUGGAUCAUCCGAGGUUCUCCUCGGUGCACUCGACGAUGCGCAGGCCAGCAUCGGUUUGGGUGGUUGGAGAAAGGCUCUAGGAACGUAGCUCUCUUCGGGGAGUGUUAUAGCCUAGGGCGCAAUGCAGCCCACCCGGACCGAGGACCGCGCCUUCGGGCUAGGAUGCUGGCGUAAUGGUUGUAAGCGACCCGUCUUGAAACACGGACCAAGGAGUCUAACAUCUAUGCGAGUGUUUGGGCGUUAAACCCAUACGCGGAAUGAAAGUGAACGUAGGUGAGAACCCGUUAGGGUGCAUCAUCGACCGAUCCUGA